UACGUAGGGGGCAAGCGUUGUCCGGAUUUAUUGGGCGUAAAGCGCACGUAGGCGGAUCGAUCAGUCAGGGGUGAAAUCCCAGGGCUUAACCCUGGAACUGCCUUUGAUACUGUCGAUCUAGAGUCCGGAAGAGGUGAGUGGAAUUCCUGGUGUAGCAGUGAAAUGCGUAGAUAUCAGGAGGAACACCGAUGGCGAAGGCAGGUCUCUGGGCUGACACUGACGCUCAUGCACGAAAGCGUGGGGAGCGAACAGG
rnacentral:rRNA from 1 species